rnacentral:rRNA from 1 species
GUACACAAAAAUGCACAUAUUGUGAGCUCGAUGAGUAGGGCGGGACACGUGGUAUCCUGUCUGAAUAUGGGGGGACCAUCCUCCAAGGCUAAAUACUCCUGACUGACCGAUAGUGAACCAGUACCGUGAGGGAAAGGCGAAAAGAACCCCGGCGAGGGGAGUGAAAAAGAACCUGAAACCGUGUACGUACAAGCAGUGGGAGCCUCUUAAUGGGGUGACUGCGUACCUUUUGUAUAAUGGGUCAGCGACUUAUAUUCUGUAGCAAGGUUAACCGAAUAGGGGAGCCGAAGGGAAACCGAGUCUUAACUGGGCGUUAAGUUGCAGGGUAUAGACCCGAAACCCGGUGAUCUAGCCAUGGGCAGGUUGAAGGUUGGGUAACACUAACUGGAGGACCGAACCGACUAAUGUUGAAAAAUUAGCGGAUGACUUGUGGCUGGGGGUGAAAGGCCAAUCAAACCGGGAGAUAGCUGGUUCUCCCCGAAAGCUAUUUAGGUAGCGCCUCGUGAAUUCAUCUCCGGGGGUAGAGCACUGUUUCGGCAAGGGGGUCAUCCCGACUUACCAACCCGAUGCAAACUGCGAAUACCGGAGAAUGUUAUCACGGGAGACACACGGCGGGUGCUAACGUCCGUCGUGAAGAGGGAAACAACCCAGACCGCCAGCUAAGGUCCCAAAGUCAUGGUUAAGUGGGAAACGAUGUGGGAAGGCCCAGACAGCCAGGAUGUUGGCUUAGAAGCAGCCAUCAUUUAAAGAAAGCGUAAUAGCUCACUGGUCGAGUCGGCCUGCGC